AUAAAUAGAGUGACAAAAUUCCAUAUCCCCCCCCCCCACAACAUUGUCUAAGAUAAGUAAGUAGAAUAUGGAUGGAUGCAUGGAUGGAUGGAUGGAUGGAUAAUCCAAUGUUACAAAAUGCAGAUAAAAUAUGCAGAAAUAAUUCUACAAAACACUUUCAGAUCAAAGGCUAUAGCUUCAGCAAUUUAUUUAAUAUUAGGAUACAAUUGCACUCGCCAUAAAAAACAAUAAUGUGAGAUGUCUGGCUCACGCCAAAGGCAGACAUAAAAUGAUUUUAUAGGUUUUGGUUGAGGCAAUACUAGUAAAUUCUAAUAAGGUAAAAACUUCACAGAACUGUCAAAAAUAACAAUAGCAUCAUGUCUCUGUAUGACAGAAUGAGUUAAUGUCAAAAUUGCUCUGAUUUAAAGAUCUUCUCCAUCACAAAAAUAAUCCCCCUGACCGUUUUCCAUCACUUCUCAUCUAGAAACUCAGAUGACCUAGCAGGCCAAGUUACCAAGCUGCCAGAACUGAUUUCUGGAGAAUUAUUCCAGAAUUCAGGCGGCACGGAGGAAGACGGCGAGGAAGAGGAGGCUCGGGCCUUACCAAAGGUGCUGACUGGAUGGUGGCGAAGCGCUCCCGGUUCCGGUGGUGGUGGGCCUGGCCCCGGUCGGGGGAGGUAGGCCGUGGCUCAGGCCUGGGCUCCGGGUGCGGCGCCCCAUCCCUCACAAGCGCAUGGUCCUGCAGGGGCGGAGGAGAAGGGGGAGAGGGAGCCGGGACACAGAGAGCCUGGAGCCAAGAAGCAAAGUGUACAAGGCAGGGGACACCCUGGGCAGAAUGCCAGUCCAUCACAGGGCACAGGACAGGGGACACCCUGGGCAGAAUGCCAGUCCAUCACAGGGCACAGGACAGGGGACACCCUGGGCAGAAUGCCAGUCCAUCACAGGGCACAGGACAGGGGACACCCUGGGCAGGAUGCCAGUCCAUCACAGGGCACAGGACAGGGGACACCCUGGACAGGAUGCCAGUCCAUCACAGGGCACAGGACAGGGGACACCCUGGGCAAGAUGCCAGUUCAUCACAGGGCACAGGACAGGAGACACCCUGGACAGGAUGCCAGUCCAUCACAGGGCACAGGACAGGGGACACCUUGGGCAGGAUGCCAGUCCAUCACAGGGCACAGGACAGGGGACACCCUGGGCAGGAUGUUAGUCUUUCGCGCAAAAUAUUCACUAUUGCAAAACAUAUAGUGAAAAAAAAUGAGCCGGAUGCCUGUGUUGACGCUGGACUUUUUGAAAGACGUCAAUCGAAAAUGAAACGUCAACAAAAUCAAGGCUAAACAUAGCUGAAAGGAAAAUGAAGACCACACAAGAUCCUGUGAGGUCGGCGACACCAGGCAGCUCUCCUGACCAUGCACCAUACUCAUGUCCGGUGGCUGCUGUAAGCCACACAACCCUGCAGCAAAUGGACCAUGAGAACCAACCGCAGCUUAUAGAAUAUAAGCAUUGAAAAUCAGUGGCGACCCGCAGCUGCUUCACAUUUGCGCUCCCUCCGAGCUCCCCACAUUUUUGCUCCCUGGGAGGACUGUCUGUGGGUCCCGGAGGCCUGCAUUGGGAAAUACUGCUGUAAGCACUGCUGUGAGUAAAACAGUCUUGCCAAUCAUGCUCCCCAUAUGUGGGGGGGGGGGGGGGGCUGUUUGCAUUGACAUCGUCCGUGUAUUACGCCUCUUGACACAUGUAUAGUAUACGUGAUCUGUGACACCCGAUGAUUCUAAGACACAAUGCACAUCAAGGAUCGGGAAAGUUUUUAAUACCACCCAUCAAGAGCAAAAGUUUGCAAUGAAGUUCUCUCCCAAUACAGUGGGACUCCCAUGUGCGUUUAGAUCAGGGGUCUCCAACUCCAGUUCU